rnacentral:RNase_P_RNA from 1 species
CCAGUUGGCUGGGCAGCCGCGCUUUAUCAAUGCCGAAAGGCGGUAGGGUGAGGAAAGUCCGGGCUCCACGGAAACACGGUGCCGGAUAACGUCCGGCGAGGGCGACCUCAGGGAAAGUGCCACAGAAAGCAAACCGCCUGUCAUGACAGGUAAGGGUGAAAGGGUGGGGUAAGAGCCCACCGCAUCUCCGGCAACGGAAAUGGCACGGUAAACCCCACCGGGAGCAAGACCGAAUAGGGAUGACGUGGCAGGCCGAAAGGCCUUCCGGCCGGUUUCCAGGCCAGUCAUCCGGGUGGGUUGCGCGAGGCAGCGUGCGAACGCUGUCCCAGAGGAAUGGCUGCCACGUUCCGGUUCACGCCGGAGCCAUACAGAACCCGGCUUACAGGCCAACUGGCGAU